AUGGCAUCUCUCGCAUGGUCAGCGUCUCCGUCUCCGUCAACGCAACGGCGGGAUGCUCUGCUCGUUGCUCAAGUAGUCGGUGGGAUCCACGGCCGCCUUCACCGCCGCCAGCCGCCGGUAGUUGCCCACGAAGUAGCGCUCGCCCCACACCUCGCCGCUCUCCGGCGUGCCAUCGUUCUGGCCGAUGUCCAGGUCCCGGAAGUUGACGUACGCCCGCCUAGGGUUCUUGCUCACGUGCUGUCCCAUGAAGUCGUACAGGCCGCCGAUCCAGGCCGUCGCCGCCGUGCCGUCGCCUCCCUGCUGCCAGAACGCGAUGUACUGGAUGACGUACAGCACGCCGUGCCGGUGCGGGUAGGGCGUCGCCGCGGCGGGGACGCUGCCCAUGAACCCGCCGUGGGGCUCCAGCAAGAUGAACCCGGCGCCGUCCAUGGUGAACCAGGAGAAGAUCUCCUCCCACGCGGCCUUGGGGAUGGCGCGCUGGACGUAGUCGGACUUGAUCUUCCCGGCGCUGCUCUGCCCGGCGGUCCUGCUCAGCAGCGCCUCCUCCAGCGUGCCGUUCCUGCCGAAGCUGAUGAAGGGUGUGGCCGCCGACUGCAGCCAGGUCAUCGGCUGGCAGUCGGCGCUCGUCAUGCCCAGCUCCGGGAACUGGUCGCCCAUCGUCGCCACCAGCGAGUCGCAUGCCCCGAGGUACAGGGCCUGGAACAUGGCCUGCUGCCCUUGCACGAUCACCCUUAUGGUGAGGUCGCUGGGGAGAACCGGCGCGACGUGCUGCCAUCUGGCGAGGAUGCCCACGGCGCCCUCGUCGACCGUCUUCGCGAUGUUGAACACCGCCACCGUCGGCGGGACCUGCACCAGCUGGAUCUUCCACGAGAGCACGAUGCCGAAGUUCCCGCCGCCGCCGCCCCGGAUGGCCCAGAAGAGGUCCUCCCCCAUGUCAGCCCUGUCAAGCAGAUCGCCGUCGGCGUUGACCAGCUUGGCAUCGAGGACCUUGUCCGCAGAGAGGCCGUGCUUGCGCAUCAUCAUGCCGAUGGCGCCGCCGCUGAAGUGGCCGCCCACGCCGAUGGUGGCGCACUCGCCGGCCGGGAACGCGAUCCGGGAGUCGUUCUUGGCGAUGGCGUAGUAGAGCUCCCCGAUGGUGGCGCCGGAGUCGACCCAGGCCGUGGACUCGAGCCGGUUGACGCGCACGGCCCGGAGGUUGGCGCCGAGGUCGACCACCGCGAACACCUCGGAAGGCCGCACGGACCGGUACGAGAGGCCCUCGUAGUCGUGCCCGCCGCUGCGUACGCGGAGGCGCACGCCAUGCCCGCGGCCGCAGAGCACGGCGGCCUGGACGUGGGAGGCGUCGGCGGGCGUGACGAUGCAGAGCGGCCUCGCCGUGGCGUUGGUGAGGAACUUGGUGUUCCUGAUGGUGGAGGCCAGCACAUCGGUGAAGUUGGUGGAGCUCUGCGUGUACACGAGCUCGCUGGGUAUCUUGGCGCUCAGCAGGCACCGGAGGAAACCAUCAGCUGGAGAAGCAACGGAGCACGAGAAGAAGAAGCUCAGAGAGAAGGCGAGUGCUAA
rnacentral:rRNA from 1 species